rnacentral:rRNA from 1 species
GACGAACGCUGGCGGCGUGCUUAACACAUGCAAGUCGAGCGGUAAGGCCCUUUCGGGGGUACACGAGCGGCGAACGGGUGAGUAACACGUGGGUGACCUGCCCUCAGCUCUGGGAUAAGCCUGGGAAACUGGGUCUAAUACUGGAUAUGACUCCACGGUGCAUGUCGUGGGGUGGAAAGCCUUGUGCGGCUGAGGAUGGGCCCGCGGCCUAUCAGCUUGUUGGUGGGGUGANGGCCUACCAAGGCGACGACGGGUAGCCGGCCUGAGAGGGCGACCGGCCACACUGGGACUGAGACACGGCCCAGACUCCUACGGGAGGCAGCAGGUGGGGAAUCUUGCGCAAUGGGCGAAAGCCUGACGCAGCGACGCCGCGUGAGGGAUGACGGCCUCGG